rnacentral:rRNA from 1 species
UACGGAGGGUGCGAGCGUUGUCCGGAAUCACUGGGCGUAAAGCGCACGUAGGCGGCUUUCUAAGUCGGGGGUGAAAUCCCCAGGCUUAACCUGGGAACUGCAUCCGAUACUGGAUGGCUUGAAUCCGGGAGAGGGAUGCGGAAUUCCAGGUGUAGCGGUGAAAUGCGUAGAUAUCUGGAGGAACACCGGUGGCGAAGGCGGCAUCCUGGACCGGCAUUGACGCUGAGGAGCGAAAGCCAGGGGAGCAAAGCGGG